rnacentral:lncRNA from 1 species
CUCCAUCUUCUGCAUCAUCUUCCAACUCCUUUAAGAUCGAGGAACUCAAAGAGGAGGACGCCAGUGGAUCAAGUUAGCUUCCUUUAAUCCAACAAAAACAUAUAUAUAUAUAUAUAUAUAUAUAUAUAUAUAUAUAUAUAUAUAUAUAUAUAUAUAUAUAUAUAUAUAUAUAUAUAUAAAAUUUAUUUGAAGAGUCGUUAGACGAGCACCUUGUGUUCAUGGCUUCCAACCUCGUUCUCUGAUGGAAGAAGCCAGCGGUGCGUUGUCUCCUUGUAGAGUCUGCCGGAAGGGCCAUCACAGUGGUUCUCUCAAUCAUAGACAUCGGCAUGUCACCAGAUGCUUCUAUCAGAGCAGGACAAGUGCUGCCAUGGAUUAAAUGAACAACACUGCUGCUGCAGCAGAUCAUGACAACUGCUUGCACUGCUUCUGGUUGAUGAUUCCCAUCAGGUUAUGGCCAGCGGGGACAGAUGUGAAAGUUAUUGGGCUAACGUCCUUCUCCAGUAGGAGUUCGGGAGAACUGUAGAUGUUGGAUGGAUAGACGAUAUCAGUUGUACAUUUAACAUGUCCUCCGAAGAGAAAAAGGAGUGCACAGUGGGUAGUGAUUGCCCCCUUUCUCGAGGAAGGUCGCUUACCAUUGCUUGUAAGUUUUCAUUUCAUGGUGGUAGACUUCUUGCAGGGUCGAACAAGUUGUUUCCCUGAUUCAACAUCAUACCGAAAUCUUGAAACGAAAAUAGCUGUCAGACAACUGGAUUCUGUACCGAGCAUACCUCUUGUUGUUGGAUGCAUGCAGCACGAUUACCAGCUCAUCCUAGAAAGCCAGCAGUCAGAUGUUCAUUUCAGUGCCAAUAAAAUUUCUAUUAUUCUCUUAUCCUAUAAUAACAAAGUCAAUUAUUCUAUAUGAAUAUUUUGCCACCAUUAAGAUAAUUAUUCUGUUAUACCAUACAUACAUGGAAAUAUAUGUCACAAAAAGAUUAAU